UACGGGGGGGGCAAGCGUUGUUCGGAAUUACUGGGCGUAAAGGGCUCGUAGGCGGCCCUCUCAGUCGGAUGUGAAAUCCCCAGGCUUAACCUGGGAACGGCAUCCGAUACUGGAGGGCUUGAAUUCGGGAGAGGGAUGCAGAAUUCCAGGUGUAGCGGUGAAAUGCGUAGAUAUCUGGAGGAAUACCGGUGGCGAAGGCGGCAUCCUGGACCGAGAUUGACGCUGAGGAGCGAAGGCUAGGGGAGCAAACGGG
rnacentral:rRNA from 1 species